rnacentral:lncRNA from 1 species
CCUAUGGAAUAGCCUUUCUAUAUUCCUUUACUUUCUUCAUAAACUUACUUUCACUUUACUCUAUGGACUUGUCUUGAAUUCUUUCUUGCAUGAGAUUCAAGAACCAUCUCUUGGGGUCUGGACUGGGACUCUUUUCCAUAACAUGAGGACUUGUUAAGAUCACCCUUGGUGCCUUCUGCAGGGAAACAAGAAGGAAUUCUAUGUAUUGUCUAAAGAUCCAGACAGGCAGUGAAGGCUUCCUGGAGGAGCUGGAACUGAGCUUUUGCUUGCCAUCCACCACUGCUGCUGGUCAACGUGGCAGACCCGCCACUGACAUCCAUCCCUCCGGAUCCGUCAGGGUGUCCGCUGUGCUCCUGAUCCACUGAGGCGCCCAUUGCUGCUCCCCAUCCGGCUAAAGGCUUGCCAUUGUUCCUGCACGGCUAAGUGCCCAGCUUCGUCCUAAUGGAGCUGAACACUAGUCACUGGGUUCCACGGUUCUCUUCCGUGACCCACGGCUUCUAAUAGAGCUAUAACACGCACGGCAUGGCCCAAGAUUCCAUUCCUUGGAAUCCGUGAGGCCAAGAACCCCACGUCAGAGAACAAGAGGCUUGCCACCAUCUUGGAAGCAGCCCGCCGCCAUUUUGGAAGCAGCCCACCACCAUCUUGGGAGCUCUGGGAGCAAGGACUCCCGCAACAAUACUUACCACUGUGUUACAACUACCUAUUCAGUCUAGUAACCUGCUGUAGAGGUAUGUGGCCGAGAAGCAGUAGAGGAUAUCAUACAGCCUAGGUGUGCAGUAGGCUAUACUCUCUAGGUUUGUGUAAGUACACUCUGCGGUGUUCAAAGGGUGUUGAAAUUGUCUAACGUUGAAUUUCUUAGAACGUAUCCCCAUCAUUAAGCAACAUAUGACUGUAUUAUUAUUAUUAUUAUUUUACACAUGAGGAAAUUGAUUUGAGAGUUUCAUUCCUCCAAUGUCAAUUUUAGAAUUCUGUUUACUGAAAAUCCUAAAUUGUGGAUAUGCCCAAAGCCCUGUGUGAGGUAAUGGAGAUAGAAGACGAACACAGAGUUCCUUCUGACUAGGAAUUCUGGGUGUAGUGGCUGAAGGGGACCAGGCAGAGGGAGUGUGAGGGAGGGGAAUUAAGGGGGUGGGGAAGGCGCAUGAAAGGAGCACACUUCAUCCAUAAACCACCACAGCACCACAAAGUGCUCUAAGUGAAAUGCACUGAAGCAUUUGGGAGUGUAGAGGAGUGGCUGCCUGGUAGACUGGAAGUGCCAUCUGAACAGCCGUGUUACUACAGAUGGGUUUUGAUAAAGGAACGUGUGUUACCAGGCUGGAAAUUAAUAAAUGGCAUCAAAAGAGGAAAUAAAUGAUAUAUACAAAAGUCUGAAGAUGAAGGAUGUAUUAGGGACUUGCUAGAAGUUCAGUGUGAUAGGAGUAUUGGGUGUGCAGGUAUAAUAGAAGUGAGUACAAGGUGAGGUUGAAAACUCAGUGUAUUAGUUAUCUAUUACUGCUUAAUAAACUGCCCUAAAACCUAGCUUAAAGCAACAAAUGUUUAUCAUCUCACAGCCUCUGUAGAACAAGAAUUCAGGCCCACUUCAGCUGGUGCCUCUGGUUCCAGCUCUUAUCUCUAAGGAGGCUGCAAUUGAGGUGUCAGCCAGGGCUGCAGUCAUCUCAAGCAUCCAUGGAUGUGAGGGGGAUUAUCUGCUCCAAGCUCACUCAAGUGGCUGUUGGCAGGAUUCGCUUCUGCACUAGCUGCUGGCUUGAGAACUCCCUCAGCUCCUGGCCCUGUAGGCCUCUCUAUGGGGCAGCACCCAACAGGACAGCUGCUGCCAGCAGGGUGAGUAAACAAGAGAUCAAGAGAAUUAUCUGGUGCCAGCAAGAUGGAAGUCAAGGUCCUUUCUAACCUUAGACAUGACAUCCCACUCUGUUUGCCAUAUUCUAUUUGCUAGAGGAGUGUCCCUAGAUUUAACUCACAUUCCAUGGCAAGGGAUGACACAGGGGGUAAAUACCAGGAGAAGGGGACCAUUGGGCCACCUUGGAAAACUGUCCACCGUGUGUACGUAGGGGGAAGCUCAUAAAGGAAUUUAUAUGCUUGACGAAGGAAUGUGUGCUUUAUUUUAAGAGGCACGAGAAGCUACUAAAAGAACUUCAGGGAUGGGGAGUGGAGAUUGACACUUUAGGUAGGAUCACUCUUACAGAAGUGGGGAGAGAGGAUUCCAGUGGGAGACUCUGGAGGGACGAGGCUAGUUGGAAGCCUGCGGGAUUAGACGCAGGAGAUGAUGGGAGCUUGACCCAAGGCAAGGAGAGACGAUGCAGAGAGAAGGGUUCAGGUUGCAGAGCAUUUCAUAAGCAGAAACAAUGAAUCUGUCUUGGUGACUGGCUGGGGAAGAGAAGCAAAUCAACCUACCUCCAGGUGGAUGAACUGUGAUCAUACCACUGUACUCCAGCCAGGGUGACAGAGUGAGAUCUUGUCGCAAAAAAUAAAAUAAAACAAAACACAACAAAAAUCUUACUAUAUACCUACAGAUGAGCGGGAUACUUUAACUACAGUUAAGUUCAUCCUCUAGCCCUGCCUUCUCUGACAGCUGCUGCAUAUUAAAAGCACUUUAGU